GAUUUGUUGCUUAAUGAUUAGCUAGAUCCCCCUUAUGAAUUGUCAAAUACUUAUCAGGUAAGAAGCCAUCAAACAACUUCGUAAUAAAACCUAAUUUCGGGUUUCAAAGUGAGAGGCUUACAGCUUCACUGCACAACCCUAAAACGAGGGUCGGCUACUGGCGUAUUCCAAUUCUGAACCGGCGGAUCUAGCUAAUCAUUAAGCAACAAAUC
rnacentral:misc_RNA from 1 species